GCAAGUCGAACGGUAACAUUUCUAGCUUGCUAGAAGAUGACGAGUGGCGGACGGGUGAGUAAUACUUAGGGAUCUGCCCUUUGGCGGGGGAUAACCAUUGGAAACGAUGGCUAAUACCGCAUACGACCUACGGGUGAAAGGGGGGUACUUGUUACCUCUCGCCAAAGGAGGAACCUAAGCGAGAUUAGCUAGUUGGUGAGGUAAAGGCUCACCAAGGCGACGAUCUCUAGCUGUUCUGAGAGGAAGAUC
rnacentral:rRNA from 1 species